CUAGCGACAGGCCUAACACAUGCAAGUCGAGGGGCAGCACAAGGAGCAAUCUGAGGUGGCGACCGGCGCACGGGUGAGUAACACGUAUGCAACCUGCCUGUAAGCGGGGAAUAACCCGUUGAAAGACGGACUAAUACCGCAUAAUACUAAAUUACUGCAUGGUAAUUAUUUAAACAUUUACGGCUUACAGAUGGGCAUGCGCAUGAUUAGCUAGUUGGAGAGGUAACGGCUCCCCAAGGCAACGAUCAUUAGGGGUUCUGAGAGGAAGGUCCCCCACACUGGUACUGAGACACGGACCAGACUCCUACGGGAGGCAGCAGUGAGGAAUAUUGGUCAAUGGACGAGAGUCUGAACCAGCCAAGUCGCGUGCAGGAAGAAUGUCCUUAAUGGAUUGUAAACUGCUUUUGCAGGGGAAUAAAGUGCAUCACGUGUGAUGUUUUGUAUGUACUCUGCGAAUAAGGAUCGGCUAACUCCGUGCCAGCAGCAGC
rnacentral:rRNA from 1 species